AAUCCCCUGUGGUUGGUGAUCAAGGAAGAGCAUAGUGCCAGACCUAGGUGCCCUCCUGGGAAUGUUCCAGGAGGGCAGGAGUAGGAGGAGGAGUGUUAGAGUAGAGGGGAAAUGAUGAGAGCAGAAAGGGUAUCAUAAAGGAACCUCAGGGGUGAUAUAAGUGGACACAGACAUAUGUCACAAGGGCACGGGUUUAGAACAGGAAGGCUGUUGUACGUGGUUGGAGAGGGAGUUCAAAGAGUCAGAAAGCUGGUUUCAGAAGUUGAGAGGUGUUAGAGGGAGACAGGGCAGGACUUUGUAAGGUGACAAAGAAGUAGAGACUGAAACCCUGUCUCUACUACAAAUACAAAAAUUAGCCGGGCGUGGUGGCGGGCGCCUAUAGUCCCAGCAAGAGGAGUGAAUAGGUGGUCAAAUAAGGUCUUAGAGGAGCUAAAGGGGCAGGGAGCUUAUGGGCGAACAGGAAAGGUUUACAGCAGGACCCCGCAGGAUUCAUAGGGACGAAGUAAAGGAUAUUAUAAAAGGAACAGUGAGAGAGCUAACAGAAGUUUUACUUUGGGGGGCAGAGGUGGGAGGAUCACCUGAGCCCAGGAAUUCAAGACCAGCAUGGGCAACAUUGUAGCAAAACCCCAUCUCUACCAAAAGAAAAAAAUUUUUUUUUUUUUUUUUUUUUUUUGAGAGAGUCUCGCUGUGUCACCCAGGCUGGAGUGCAGUGGCAGGAUCUUGGCUCACUUCAACCUCCACCUCCCGAGUUCUGCCUCAGCCUCCCAAGUAGCUGGGAUUACAGGUCCAGUCACUCCACGCUUGCAGAGUCCAAUUAACAAGAGCAAGUUCUGGUAGAAAGAAGGUGACUUUAUUCCAGAGCUCAGGUGUUUGAACUGAUGUCUGAUGAGGAUGAAUCCAGCGACUACCUCUGCCUGUCCAUCCUGGGCCUCUUCUGUUGCCUUCCCCUAGCCAUCCCAGCCGUGAUCUUUUCUUGCCUGACAAAGAACUACAAUAAAUCCAGUGACUAUGAGCUGGCAGCCAAGACCUCCAAACAAGCCUACUACUGGGCCAUCGCGAGCAUCACUGUGGGAAUCUUAGGUACCAUCUUGUACACCUACCUGAUAUACUUACUUAGAUUGUAAACUGCUUCCCAGCUCUUGAACAAACCACCAAAUAUACACCACAG
rnacentral:lncRNA from 1 species